AGAUUUUGAGGUCACUAGGUCAAAGGUCAAGGUCAUUGUGACCCAAAAUAGUAAAAUGGUUUCCGGAUGAUAACUCCAGAACGCAUACGCCUAGGAUCAUGAAACUUCAUGGGUAGAUUGAUCUUGACUCGCAGAUGACCCCUAUUGAUUUUGAGGUCACUAGGUCAAGGUCACGGUGACCCGAAAUAGUAAAAUAGGUCUGUCUGUCGGUCGGUCCGUCCACCAGGUGGUUGUCAGACGAUAACUCAAGAACGCUUGGGCCUAGGAUCAUGAAACUUUAUAGGUACAUUGAUCAUGACUUGCAGAUGACCCCUAUUGAUUUUGAGGUCACUAGGUCAAAGGUCAAGGUCACGGUGACCCGAAAUAGUAAAAUGGUUUCCGGAUGAUAAAUCAAGAACGCAUACGCCUAGGAUCAUGAAACUUCAUGGGUAGAUUGAUCAUGACUCGCAGAUGACCCCUAUUGAUUUUGAUGUCACUAGGUCAAAGGUCACGAUCACGGUGACCCGAAAUAGUAAAAUGAUUUUCGGAUGAUAAUUCAAGAACGCAUAUGCCUAGGAUCAUGAAACUUCAUAGGUAGAUUGAUCAUGAUCGCAGAUGACCCCUAUUGAUUUUCAGGUCACUAGGUCAAAGGUCAAGGUCACGGUGACCCGAAAUAGUAAAAUGGUUUCCGGAUGAUAACUCAAGAACGCAUAUGCCUAGGAUCAUGAAACUUCAUAGGUAGAUUGAUCAUGACUCGCAGAUGACCCCUAUUGAUUUUGAGGUCACAAGGUCAAAGGUCAAGGUCACGGUGACCCGAAAUAGUAAAAUGAUUUUCGGAUGAUAACUCAAGAACGCUUUUGCCUACGAUCAUGACACUUCAUAGGUACAUUGAUCGUGACUCGCAGAUGACCCCUAUUGAUUUUCAGGUCACUAGGUCAAAGGUCAAGGUCACAGUGACAAAAAACGUAUUCACACAAUGGCUGCCAGUACAACGCACAGCCCAUAUGGGGGGCAUGCAUGUUUUACAAACAGCCCUUGUUUAUAUAAAUACAUGCAAAGGAAAAAGGUUAAACUGAUGAUAUGAACUGACUUUCUAUAAAAUAUUUUAAUCGAUUAAAAAUACGUAACAAGA